GACGAACGCUGGCGGCGUGCCUAAUACAUGCCAGUUGAGCGCUGAAGGUUGGUACUUGUACCAACUGGAUGAGCAGCGAACGGGUGAGUAACGCGUGGGGAAUCUGCCUUUGAGCGGGGGACAACAUUUGGAAACGAAUGCUAAUACCGCAUAAAAACUUUAAACACAAGUUUUAAGUUUGAAAGAUGCAAUUGCAUCACUCAAAGAUGAUCCCGCGUUGUAUUAGCUAGUUGGUGAGGUAAAGGCUCACCAAGGCGAUGAUACAUAGCCGACCUGAGAGGGUGAUCGGCCACAUUGGGACUGAGACACGGCCCAAACUCCUACGGGAGGCAGCAGUAGGGAAUCUUCGGCAAUGGACGAAAGUCUGACCGAGCAACGCCGCGUGAGUGAAGAAGGGUUUCGGAUCGUAAAACUCUGUUGGUAGAGAAGAACGUUGGUGAGAGUGGAAAGCUCAUCAAGUGACGGUAACUACCCAGAAAGGAACGGCUAACUACGUG
rnacentral:rRNA from 1 species